CUACGGGUGGCUGCAGGCGAGAAAACUUUGCAAUGUGCGAAAGCACGACAAGGUUAAUCCGAGUGGUUUCUGCUAAAGGAACCUUUUGACAGUCCUAGAAACACUGUUGAAUAAGGGGUGGGCAAGUUCUGGUGUCAGCCGCCGCGGUAAAACCAGCACCUCAAGUGGUCAGGAUGAUUAUUGGGCCUAAAGCAUCCGUAGCCGGCUCUGUAAGUUUUCGGUUAAAUCUGUACGCUCAACGUACAGGCUGCCGGGAAUACUGCAGAGCUAGGGAGUGGGAGAGGUAGACGGUACUCGGUAGGAAGGGGUAAAAUCCUUUGAUCUAUUGAUGACCACCUGUGGCGAAGGCGGUCUACCAGAACACGUCCGACGGUGAGGGAUGAAAGCUGGGGGAGCAAACCGGAUUAGAUACCCCGGUAGUC
rnacentral:rRNA from 1 species